rnacentral:rRNA from 1 species
CAGCAGCCACGGUAAAACGGAGGUGGUUAGCGUUGUUCGGAAUUACUGGGCGUAAAGCGCACGUAGGCGGCUUUGUAAGUCAGAGGUGAAAGCCUGGAGCUCAACUCCAGAACUGCCUUUGAGACUGCAUCGCUUGAAUCCAGGAGAGGUGAGUGGAAUUCCGAGUGUAGAGGUGAAAUUCGUAGAUAUUCGGAAGAACACCAGUGGCGAAGGCGGCUCACUGGACUGGUAUUGACGCUGAGGUGCGAAAGCGUGGGGAGCAAACAGGAUUAGAUACCCGCGUAGUCCCUGUCUCUUAUAC